rnacentral:rRNA from 1 species
UACGGAGGGAGCUAGCGUUGUUCGGAAUUACUGGGCGUAAAGCGCACGUAGGCGGCUUUGUAAGUUAGAGGUGAAAGCCCGGAGCUCAACUCCGGAACUGCCUUUAAGACUGCAUCGCUUGAAUCCAGGAGAGGUGAGUGGAAUUCCGAGUGUAGAGGUGAAAUUCGUAGAUAUUAGGAAGAACACCGGUGGCGAAGGCGGCCCACUGGAUCGGUACUGACGCUGAGGUGCGAAGCGUGGGGAGCAAACAGG